CAGGUUUACCUGUGUGACUGCGUACCUUUUGUAUAAUGGGUCAGCGACUUAUAUUCUGUAGCAAGGUUAACCGUAUAGGGGAGCCGGAGGGAAACCGAGUCUUAACCGGGCGUUAAGUUGCAGGGUAUAGACCCGAAACCCGGUGAUCUAGCCAUGGGCAGGUUGAAGGUUGGGUAACACUAACUGGAGGACCGAACCGACUAAUGUUGAAAAAUUAGCGGAUGACCUGUGGCUGGGGGUGAAAGGCCAAUCAAACCGGGAGAUAGCUGGUUCUCCCCGAAAGCUAUUUAGGUAGCGCCUCGUGAAUUCAUCUCCGGGGGUAGAGCACUGUUUCGGCUAGGGGGCCAUCCCGGCUUACCAACCCGAUGCAAACUGCGAAUACCGGAGAAUGUUAUCACGGGAGACACACGGCGGGUGCUAACGUCCGUCGUGAAGAGGGAAACAACCCAGACCGCCAGCUAAGGUCCCAAAGUCAUGGUUAAGUGGGAAACGAUGUGGGAAGGCCCAGACAGCCAGGAUGUUGGCUUAGAAGCAGCCAUCAUUUAAAGAAAGCGUAAUAGCUCACUGGUCGAGUCGGCCUGCGCGGAAGAUGUAACGGGGCUAAACCAUGCACCGAAGCUGCGGCAGCGAACGUAUCACUUAAAGCGAUUCAGCGGGUUACGAUUGACGGAGCGAAGCGACGUCAAAGCGUAUACAAAGUCGAGUCGGUUUAAGGAUACGUUCGUUGGGUAGGGGAGCGUUCUGUAAGCCUGUGAAGGUGUGUCGUGAGGCAUGCUGGAGGUAUCAGAAGUGCGAAUGCUGACAUAAGUAACGAUAAAGCGGGUGAAAAGCCCGCUCGCCGGAAGACCAAGGGUUCCUGUCCAACGUUAAUCGGGGCAGGGUGAGUCGACCCCUAAGGCGAGGCCGAAAGGCGUAGUCGAUGGGAAACGGGUUAAUAUUCCCGUACUUGGUGUUACUGCGAAGGGGGGACGGAGAAGGCUAUGUUGGCCGGGCGACGGUUGUCCC
rnacentral:rRNA from 1 species